AUAUUUCUCAUUUAUGAGAAGAGACUUGACUGAUUUAGAUAAAGACAAGUUAAGGAAAACCUCUGAAUGUGAGUAGACAAGCUUCACAUAUCUGAAAAAUUAAUAUUGAAUGGUGGUUGAAUAAUCCUUGUGUAUCACAGAAAAUAAUUAAACUCCCAGUUAUAUACCUGAAACCUAAAUACCAAACCUUUUUAAGAGAGAUUUGAUAUAAAGUGAGAUGGUUUGCAUCUUUAACUAAACUGAUAAAAAUAUGAUCAAUUCGAUAAUCUUCAUUUUAGUGAGAAGCAACUGUGGACUCAUUCAUUCUGCAGCAAAUGGUUAUCGAGUGUCUUCUGUGUAAUAAGCUUUUCCAAUUCAAUGGGGAAUGACAUGCAAGUUCCUGAAUCUUAUGGGAUUUGUGUUCUAGAAGAGAGACCAACAAACAGAUAGAAAACUAGUCGUCCAGGAUCCCCUCGGGCAGGACUCCUUCUCCCUUCGGAGUGAAGCGUUCCUGUAAUAAGGACGUGUUGCGGUUGUAUUGGAAUUGGUGCACUCGUGACCCAGUGGACUGAUGCAAAUGGAACACGAGCGACAAAAACCAUAUGCCUUUUCCAGGAUGAACAACUGGGCAGCUGUGUCAGAAGAAUUUCACAGAACUCCAUCUGUAUCCCAAACUCGGUGGAUACAUUCGUGUGGCGAGGUCUUGUACGGUUGGCUAUAAAUUCAGCUUUGCGGUAUUGUCCGUGGGGAACGUGACAGCUGAAGGAGGGGCGGCAUGUCACAAGACAUUAGGCGAAUGCCCAUACCGCAUAGCUAGUAGUCAGCAAAAUCCUAAGGCAAGUUCAUGAAGCUGCUGCUGUUGCAGUGAUUUUCCCUUUACCUCCCCUUGCACUGACCUUG